GACGAACGCUGACAGAAUGCUUAACACAUGCAAGUCAACCGGAAAGGCGGUGUGGGUGGCGGACGGGUGGGUGACGCGUAGGGAACUUGCCUGACAGAUAGGGACAACAUUUGGAGACGAAUGCUAAUACCAGAUAUUAUGAUUAUAUGGCAGCGUAUAAGUAUGAAAGCUAUGGGCGCUGUGAGAGAGCUUUGCGUCCCAUUAGCUAGUUGGAGAGGUAACGGCUCACCAAGGCGAUGAUGGGUAGCCGGCCUGAGAGGGUGAUCGGCCACAUGGGGACUGAGACACGGCCCUUACUCCUACGGGAGGCAGCAGUGGGGAAUAUUGGACAAUGGACCAAGAGUCUGAUCCAGAACUCCUGUGUGGACGAUGAAGUUUUUCGGUAUGUAACGUGUUUCCAGUUGGGAAGAAAAAAAUGACGGUAACAACAGAAGAAGUGACGGCUAAAUACGUG
rnacentral:rRNA from 1 species